UCCUGGAUGGCUCAGUCGGUUAAGCAUCUGACUUCAGCUCAGGUCAUGAUCUCACAGCUUGUGGGUUCGAGUCCUGCAUCAGGCU
rnacentral:tRNA from 1 species